AUUGAACGCUGGCGGCACGCCUAACACAUGCGAGUCGAACGAGACCUUCGGGUCUAGUGGCGCACGGGUGCGUAACGCGUGGGAAUCUGCCCUUUGGUUCGGAAUAACAGUUGGAAACGACUGCUAAUACCGGAUGAUGACGAAAGUCCAAAGAUUUAUCGCCAGAGGAUGAGCCCGCGUAGGAUUAGCUAGUUGGUGUGGUAAAGGCGCACCAAGGCGACGAUCCUUAGCUGGUCUGAGAGGAUGAUCAGCCACACUGGGACUGAGACACGGCCCAGACUCCUACGGGAGGCAGCAGUGGGGAAUAUUGGACAAUGGGCGAAAGCCUGAUCCAGCAAUGCCGCGUGAGUGAUGAAGGCCUUAGGGUUGUAAAGCUCUUUUACCCGGGAUGAUAAUGACAGUACCGGGAGAAUAAGCUCCGGCUAACUCCGUGCCAGCCGCCGCCGUAA
rnacentral:rRNA from 1 species